GACGAACGCUGGCGGCGUGCCUAAUACAUGCAAGUAGAACGCUGAAGGAGUAGCUUGCUCUUCUGGAUGAGUUGCGAACGGGUGAGUAACGCGUAGGUAACCUGCCUGUUAGCGGGGGAUAACUAUUGGAAACGAUAGCUAAUACCGCACAACAGUAGAUGUUGCAUGACAUUUACUUAAAAGGUGCAAUUGCAUCACUACCAGAUGGAGCUGCGUUGUAUUAGCUAGUUGGUGUGGUAACGGCUCACCAAGGCGGCGAUGCAUAGCCGACCUGAGAGGUGGAGCGGCCACACUGGGACUGAGACACGGCCCAGACUCCUACGGGAGGCAGCAGUAGGGAAUCUUCGGCAAGGGACGGAAGUCUGACCGAGCAACGCCGCGUGAGUGAAGAAGGUCUUCGGAUCGGAAAGCACUGUUGUAAGAGAAGAACGAGUGUGAGAGUGGAAAGUUCACACUGUGACGGUAUCUUACCAGAAAGGGACGGCUAACUACGUG
rnacentral:rRNA from 1 species